GUGUAGCUCAGUUGGUUAAGGGGGCGUCAGAUUUGCACCAAAAGCUAGAGGUCGCGGGUUUCCGAUCCUAAGCGCCAAUCACCUUGCCGCUGAGUGAGGCUGAUUUACCUCUCACACGAUGGGCCUGGGGCGGCCUGGUGUGGGCCGGUUAGCGUGUCCGGUCAUACACGUUUUGCACCAAAAACACUUGUAUGCUUUUGUUUAAAUUAUGAAUGAAAAGAAAUGAAUUAGUCACUUGCAAAAAUCUCUAAAUUCUCUCAAGUUCUUAUCUAUUUUCUUUGGAUCAAUUGGUUAACGAUUUGGUUCAUAUCAUAAGAAUGGUCAAAAGUCAAAACAAGAUUAGUGGGUCAAUGGUCAACCUUUGAAGUAGACUAACUUUCUAUUGUCUUUUACUAUGUUCUGUUGUGAAGCUGUUUCGUAAAGGAAAGAAGGAUACAUCAAUAGGAGAGUUGAACAAGUUUUAUGUUGAUAUCUGCAAAUCAACAUUGAUACCACCACCAAAGGUAUAAUGGAACUUUCAUGCAUGUGUACUGUAGACUGCUAGGGAAUUCUAAAACUCCCGAGAUGAUAAAUUAAGGAGAGUGACGUUGCAAGUAGAUGAAGCCGACAUCAGUUUUGCAUUGCAGUGGCAGCAGCGGUGAAGAUUUGAAUGGUUGUAUUCCGUGGGGGUACUGGUGAGAUAGAUGUUCACGGCCGUGGAUGAUUUUAUCUAACAUCUUACAUUAAUAGCCUCUCUGUUAGUUACUCUUAUGUUUUUAGAUAUCACUUUCUCUGCUUUCGCUAACUGCACACAUUUCUUCAAUACUUACAGCUAGCUACAAAAGACGACCCACGAACCAAAAAUAAAAUUGCUAAACGGCUCUGACUGAAGUGAACAAGACAUGCAGUAGGUUAGGUUAUCCUGCUGCUACUCUUUACAAACAUAAAGCUAUAAUAAUAAAUAAUAUUUUUGUAUCUCUCCUUAAGGAGUAACAAAAUGCACGGCUGUCAUGAGUCAGUCAAAUCGACAAUAUUAUAAAAAUUAACCACAUCAUUACAAUACUAACCUGAACUUUGGAAGGUUUUACAUAUUUUGACCCGUUUUGUUGAUAUUGAAUCAAAUGUAGCCAGUAGCCUACUCUGAUUUGCACAUAAUAAACCAGCAGCAGCCCAUCCUCAAGUGCAACACGCUUGUAUUCAGGGGUACACGACUGUAACCACCACUAAUAAUGUAGCUAGCUAAGAACAAAGGCAAUCUGCUCUACUUUUAAGUUGAUUUUCAUUUUGGUUCUUUUUCAGAAUUUACAACUGAAUCUUUUUUUGUCGGUGUGUGUUUAUUUUUAGCUACAACUAUAGCUAUAGCGAGGAAUUAAAGCUUGCCAGAGAUCUGUGCUCCCACUCUCAUGCUGAGAGGAUGGAAAGCCAGCCCAUUCAACAACUUUUUCAAGAAAGGAAAUGACGCUUUGUCCUAUGAUGUCUGAUGAUGAAUUCGAUAUGCCGUAGUAGAUUUGGCCUUACUAUGUUUAUAUAUCAUCUACUUUUAUUUAUAGAGUCCAUCUGUAUAGUUAGUUCAGUUUUACUUUGUAAAUUAAACAUUUACUCCAAAAACAUACACAAAUCAAAUUAGUAUU
rnacentral:lncRNA from 1 species